AGUGUGUAUAGGAUAGCUUUACUCCGGGGGGUGUCCUCAGAACAGGUCCUUCCGCUGUGCCCCCGCCAGGAGAAGCAUGUAGGCAGGUAGGAGAAGCCAAACACCAUGAGAGAGUGCUGACUUUAUUCAUCCUUGUACACUGUCAAAAUACCGACUGACAUCGCACAGACACUUCCUGACGGACUCUCACUCACACUCUCUCACAUACUUAUACACGAACCUAAGUCUAGAGAAUCACGUUACAGUAUCAAAAAGCAGGUUCAGGACACUAACGUUACACUAAAGGACAUGAAGGCAACACUCUCCGGCUCUAUCCAUUUUUUAGCAUGCAGGGGACACUCAUGAAAUAGCGCAAUACUGCCUAGCUGACUCUCACUCACACUCUCUCCCAUACUUAUACACGAACCUAAAUCUAGAGAAUCACGCUGCAGAAUAAGAAAGCAGGUUCAAGACACAAACAUUACACUAAAGGCUCUAUCUGUUUCUAGCAAGUAGGGGAUACUCAUGAAAUAUCGCAAUACUGACUGACUGACACACUCACACUCUCUCCUAUAUUUGUACACGAACCUACAUUUAGAGAAUCACAUUGCAGAAACAGAAAGCAGGUUCAAGACACUAACGUCACACUAAAGGACACAAAGGCAACACUCUGGCCCCGCCCGUUCUCUAGAGAGCACGGGAUACUCAUACAAAUGUCAGGUAGAGGCUCAAUUCUUCACCCACGGACAUAACAAUUGGAGUAAUGCAUAGUUUUGAGACAAGAAAUAUAAGUUUGGCACAUCGAUCCCAUCUCCUACAUUCUAACUACACUAAAUUCUUUGUGAGGAUACUUGUAGAAAUGUCAGGAAGAGGCUCAAUUCUUUACCCAUGGACAUAACAAUUGGAGUAAUGUAUAGUUUUGAGACAAGAAAAACAAGUUUGGCAAAUCAUCCCUAUCUCCUAUAUUCUAACUACACUAAAUUCUUUGUGGCAUAAUACUAUUUACUACAAUCUAUAUAUAUCCUACAACAUGGCAGAAGAAUUAAUCAGCUAGUAUGCUUGAUAAUGACGCAAUUAAAAUGAUGCAGAAUACUUAAAUGCAGUAUGGCUAUUGAUUUUUUUCCUUUCUUUUUAUAUUCUUACUUUGCUGUCACUAUUUUUUUUCACACCCAUGUCUGCUACUUAAGGGGACUCUGUUUGGGUCUAUAGCAGUUUUUAUUUUCUCUCUCUCUCUCUCUCUCUCUCUCUCUCUCUCUCUCUCUCUCUCUCUCUCUCUCUCUCUCUCUCUCUCUCUCUCUCUCUCUCUCUCUCUCUUCAGCAAAAGGGGAGGCAGCUCUACGGUAAAUAAUAAAAGCAGAAAAAGAAAAGAAAAAAAAAAGCCUGCCCUAUGAUGCUAAAACAAAGGAAAAAACAACGAGAGGCUGGAAGAUGCCCUGACAUGGAUCUCUCACUAAUAAUAAUAAACAAUAAUGAUGACAAUAAUAUACUUUCUUGCUACUUCAGGAUAUAAUUUCUUCCACUCCAUGCCAAAGAGAAAAUAAUAAUGAUAACAAUAUACUUUUUCUAUAGCAACUUCAGGUUAAAAAAAAAUUCUUCCACCCCAUGCAAAAGAAACAACAAUAAUGAUAAUAUACUUUCUCUGUGGCAACUUCAGGUAAAAACAAAAAUUCUUCCACCCCAUGCAAAAGAAACAACAAUAAUGAUAAUAUAAUUUCUCUGUGGCUACUUCAGGUAAAAACAAAAAUUCUUCCACCCCAUGCAAAAGAAACAACAGUAAUGAUAAUAUACUUUCUCUGUGGCAACUUCAGGUAAAAACAAAAAUUCUUCCACCCCAUGCAAAAGAAACAACAAUAAUGAUAAUAUAAUUUCUCUGUGGCAACUUCAGGUUAAAAAACAAUUCUUCCACCCCAUGCAAAAGAAACAACAACAAUGAUAAUAUACUUUCUCUGUGGCAACUUCAGGUAAAAACAAAAAUUAUUCCACCCCAUGCAAAAGAAACAACAAUAAUGAUAAUAUAAUUUCUCUGUGGCUACUUCAGGUUAAAAAAAAAAUUCUUCCAUUCCAUGCAAAAGAAACAACAACAAUGAUAAUAUACUUUCUCUGUGGCUACUUCAGGUUAAAAAAAUAUUCUUCCACUCCAUGUCAAAGAGAAAAUGAUAAUGGCGUCAAUAUACUUUCCCUGGCUACUGGACGACAAAAUUUCUUCCACUUCAUGCC